rnacentral:lncRNA from 1 species
UUUCAGUUGGGAGGCUCCUUGGCUCUUCGGAGAGUAUCUUGCUCCAGAGGCCAGAAUUUAAAUUUGAGCUGUUCUCCACAGCCCGGAGUGAGGGGCGGGGCCUGGUCCUGCUGUGCUGGAGCGAGGACUUUUGUGUCAUGGCACUCCCAAGGGAAACUGAGAGCCUCAGACCACUCAGAAGAGGUGGUGCAGAGAGAGAAUGCUGGUCACGCCGAAGAAGCUCUAAGCUGAGACGCUGUUAACUUGAGGAGCCAGACCUGAGGCAACGGAGAAACCAGACCCACAAGGAUGGGCGUGUUGAAGAAAAUCCCCAUUGAAGGCUAGCUUCCAAACGAAACUGUGAAACUUAUGGGAAGUUGGACACCAUGAAAAGUGGUCAACACGGCCAAUAUCUGAGGAAAUGGAGAUAAGAGAAUAACCUAAAAGGACUUUCAAACAAGCUUAUAUAAAAUCUUCAGACUAUGUUGUGUUUGCAAGAUGCAUAAUACUUCAUAUAGUACCCUACCUUUUGUAUAAGAAAGAAAGGGG